GAAAAAGUAUAAUAUUCACAUUUAGGAUAUGAAAUUCUAGCAGAAUUCUAGAGUUUUUCGAGAUAGGUAUUUUACUAUCUAGAAUGAGGACAAAAAAUCCAGUAAAUAAAAGGUAUAAGUUGUCUAAAAUCUUGGUUUUGGUCUUAUCUGGAAUUUACACUUUCCGUCUUUGCUUUUAAUAUUCCCUAGCUCUAAGCAACGGCCUAAAAAUACUUGAGCAAAGAGCAUCUCAAUUCGUAUAUUUCAAGAGGAUAAUUCUCACAUAUCUCAAUUGGUAUACUGUUAACAUAAUUCCUUAAAAGCCCAAGGUCAUGAAAACUCACAGAUGAAUUGGAAGUAAAGGAUUUGAUAAAUUCAUUUUGAAAAUCAAGACACUGAAAAUAUUUUAAAAGGUUUUGGUAAAAGUGAGAUUUUGAAUAAAGAUGGAUUUUUGUGGGGCUUUUAAAACAGUAAUUCUAUUCAGACAUUUCACAAGUUUAAAGCAGGACAAAAAGAAACAGGAGUAACUUACAGAGAAUCUCUUGUUCCUAGUUC